GGUGGUGAGUGCAGGGGAAUUCUUCAAGGCACUUCUCCUCCCUCAAUGUCGAUGGGACUGACAGCUCAAGAGGGCUGAUGGGGUUUAAAAAAGAUCAGGUUAACAAAAGCCCUGGAAUCAGGUGGGGGCUUGAUCAAUGGGAAGAAAAGUGAAAGUGUUGGUCGUGUCCGACUCUUUGCAACCUCAUAGACUGUAGCCCACCAGGCUCCUCUGUCCAUGGGAUUCUCCAGGCAAGGAUACUGGAGUGGGCUGCCAUGCCCUUUUCCAGGGGAUAUUCUGGAUUCAGGGAUCGAACCCAGGUCUCCUGCACUGAAGGCGGAUUCUUUACUGUCUGAGACAGUAGCCCGCCAUCAAAUCAGGAGAUUGCCUUGGAAGCUUCUGGAAAAAAGCAACUGAUGACUACAGACACCCAGGGUGGGGUGGGGGUGUCUCUGGGCUCCAUAGCUGUAUCUGGGACGAUGGUGUCUGCACUUUGAAAUCAAGCUGUUCAUGGACUGUAAGGACUACUUUUCUGUUUUACCUUCACGUCUACCCAGCAACUCAGACUCUGCAUAGGUGUGAUAUCCAGAAGGCCCUGCUGCCCCUGCAGCACCUGGUUCCUGCUGGGUGAGAGGAGAGUUUGGGGCACUGCCCGGAGUGGAAGGGGCCCUCCUAGUCCCUGUGGCCAGCUCUGCAGAACUGGAAGCUCCUGGCUCCACUGGGGUCUGUCCAGAGGGAAGACAAACAGAGGCAGGCAGGAGAGGAAGGGAUGCUCACUCACCAAGCUCUAGACACAGGAAGAUGGGAACUGUUUCUCGCUAGCUACUAGAGAUGGAGGCUCGGGGAGGACUCUCAAGGGCAGGUGGUGAGUGCAGGGGGAAUUCUUCAAGGCACUUCUCCUCCCUCAAUGUCGAUGGGGGUGAUAACACCUCCUACCUCCCAGGGAAACAUUGCAUUCUCUUCCUUGGCUCCAGUUUGCAAAAUCCCCGAUGCAGGUCCUGACUGGUCCUCCUGGCCAGUUGUCUGUGGUUUGGACACACGAUGGCUGAUCAGAGUGUCCCCUCCUUCUGGGAAGACCCUCCCCAUCAGUGAGCAUCUAGUGUGGCAGGAAGUGGAAAAGCCGUAAGGGUCUCGGGCAGGGACCCUCAGAUGGUGCUGGGGCCAGAAUGACCUCAGUCCCAGGCUGCUGACCAACCUCUCAGAGGACAGACACUCAUUUUUGGUUAUGUCAGUGCCUCCAGGGAACUCCAGCCCUGCCCCCUGACCUGCUGCCUCUCACUUCUCCUACUGGGGUUCCACAGGAAUUGGGGAGGGCACUGGGGCCCCUUGACUGAUAACCCCCAGAGGCUGGGGUAGGAAGCCCCUGGUGAGGUGGGGGGCAGACAUCUGGAGCCAGGCUCAGGCCUGGCCCCAGGAAACAGCCUGGCUGGAGACCCACCUGGCCCCUCCACUCUUGGGGCCCCUCUUCUUUCUGUCAUUUGGUCUUUGUUUGCUCCCCCAGAAAGAUCUCUGGUAGGGGAAGAUCCCAUGAGCCUCAGAGCAACUAAGUCUAUACGCCACAACUACUGAAGCCCUGGGUCCUAGAGCCUGUUGUCCACAGCAAGAGAAGCCCCUGCAAUGAGAAGCCCACUUGCUGCAGCUAGAGAAAAAGCCCACGCAGCAAUGAAGACCCAGCACAGCCAAAAAUAAAUAAACAGUUAAAAAAAA
ensembl:lncRNA